rnacentral:ncRNA from 1 species
CUUUCGGAGAGUUUGAUCCUGGCUCAGGACGAACGCUGGCGGCGUGCCUAAUACAUGCAAGUCGAGCGGACUGAUGGGAGCUUGCUCCCUGAAGUCAGCGGCGGACGGGUGAGUAACACGUGGGUAACCUGCCUGUAAGACUGGGAUAACUCCGGGAAACCGGGGCUAAUACCGGAUAGUUCUUUUCCUCGCAUGAGGAAAAGUGGAAAGGUGGCUUUUAGCUACCACUUACAGAUGGACCCGCGGCGCAUUAGCUAGUUGGUGAGGUAACGGCUCACCAAGGCAACGAUGCGUAGCCGACCUGAGAGGGUGAUCGGCCACACUGGGACUGAGACACGGCCCAGACUCCUACGGGAGGCAGCAGUAGGGAAUCUUCCGCAAUGGACGAAAGUCUGACGGAGCAACGCCGCGUGAGUGAUGAAGGUUUUCGGAUCGUAAAGCUCUGUUGUUAGGGAAGAACAAGUGCCGUUCAAAUAGGGCGGCACCUUGACGGUACCUAACCAGAAAGCCACGGCUAACUACGUGCCAGCAGCCGCGGUAAUACGUAGGUGGCAAGCGUUGUCCGGAAUUAUUGGGCGUAAAGCGCGCGCAGCGGUCUCUUAAGUCUGAUGUGAAAGCCCACGGCUCAACCGUGGAGGGUCAUUGGAAACUGGGGGACUUGAGUACAGAAGAGGAAAGUGGAAUUCCACGUGUAGCG